rnacentral:rRNA from 1 species
GCUCAGAUUGAACGCUGGCGGCAUGCCUUACACAUGCAAGUCGAANGGCAGCACGGGGGCAACCCUGGUGGGGAGUGGCGACCGGUUGAGUAAUGCAUCGGAACUUGCCCGGUAGUGGGGGAUAGCCCGUCGAAAGCCGGAUUAAUACCGCAUACGCAGUGAGGUGGAAAGCGGGGGACCUUCGGGCCUCGCGCGAUCGGAGCGGCCGAUGUCGGAUUAGCUAGUNGGUGGGGUAAAGGCUUUCCAUGGUGACGAUCCGUACCUGGUCUGAGAGGACGACCAGGCACACUGGGANNGAGACAGAUCCCAGACUCCUACGGGAGANNGCANUGGGGAAUUUUGGGCGAGGGGGCCAAGCGGGAUCCANCAAUGCCGCGCAUGUGAAGAAGGCCUCCGGGUUGUAAAGCACUUUUGUCCGGAAAGAAAUNUNNNUGGNUUAA